rfam:Desulfitobacterium metallireducens DSM 15288, complete genome.
GGUCAAGCUACUAAGGGCGUACGGUGGAUGCCUAGGCGCUAAGAGUCGAAGAAGGGCGCGGUUAACAGCGAAAUGCCACGGGGAGCAGUAAGCAUGCAUUGAUCCGUGGAUACCCGAAUGGGGCAACCCCAUUGGAGUUAUAUCCAAUGAUCUUUAACUGAAUAGAUAGGUUAAAGAGGACAACCCGGGGAACUGAAACAUCUAAGUACCCGGAGGAAGAGAAAGAAUAAUCGAUUCCCUGAGUAGCGGCGAGCGAAACGGGAAGAGCCCAAACCAAGCUCUUCGGAGCUUGGGGUUGUAGGACCCUCUAUUAAGCAUUAAUUCUUAGCUGAAGAAAUCUGGAAAGAUUCAGCAAAGAAGGUAACACUCCUGUAAGCGAAAAGAAGAAAUGCUGUGAGGGUAUCCUGAGUACCGCGGGACACGAGAAACCCCGUGGGAAACCGGGAGGACCACCUCCCAAGGCUAAAUACUCCUUAGCGACCGAUAGUGAACCAGUACCGUGAGGGAAAGGUGAAAAGCACCCCGGGAGGGGAGUGAAAAAGAACCUGAAACCGUACGCUUACAAGCAGUCAAAGCACCCUUGAGGUGUGAUGGCGUGCCUUUUGUAGAAUGAACCGGCGAGUUACGGUAUGUAGCGAGGUUAAAGCGAGAAGCUGGAGCCGAAGCGAAAGCGAGUCUGAAAAGGGCGACAAGUUACAUGCUGUAGACCCGAAACCGUGUGAUCUACCCAUGGUCAGGGUGAAGGUGGGGUAAAACCUACUGGAGGCCCGAACUCACUGUCGUUGAAAAGGCAAGGGAUGAACUGUGGGUAGGGGUGAAAUGCCAAUCGAACACGGAGAUAGCUGGUUCUCCCCGAAAUAGCUUUAGGGCUAGCCUCAAUUGAUGAUUCUUGGCGGUAAAGCACUGAAUAGGCUAGGGGCCUUACCGGGUUACCGAACCUUAUCAAACUCUGAAUGCCAAGAAUUUAGAUUGGGAGUCAGACUGUGGGGGAUAAGCUUCAUAGUCAAAAGGGAAACAGCCCAGACCAUCAGCUAAGGUCCCAAAGUAUACGCUAAGUGGAAAAGGAUGUGGAAUUGCACAGACAACCAGGAUGUUGGCUCAGAAGCAGCCACCAUUUAAAGAGUGCGUAAUAGCUCACUGGUCGAGUGGUUCUGCGCCGAAAAUGUAACGGGGCUCAAGCGUAUCACCGAAGCUAUGGCUUUACAGUUUACUGUAAGGGGUAGGGGAGCGUUCCAAGGUCAGCGAAGUUCAACUGGAAGGUUGGGUGGAGAGCUUGGAAGUGAGAAUGCCGGUAUGAGUAUGCGAAAAGGUGAGUGAGAAUCUCACCCGCCGAAAAUCUAAGGUUUCCUGGGGAAGGCUCGUCCGCCCAGGGUCAGUCGGGACCUAAGCCGAGGCCGAAAGGCGUAGGUGAUGGACAACUGGUGGAUAUUCCAGUACCUCUCUUAAACGUUAUUAGCGAUGGGGUGACACAGAAGGAUAGGUUAAGCGUGCCGUUGGUUGAGCACGCCCAAGCCCGUAGGGUGUGAGGCAGGUAAAUCCGUCUUACGCGUUGCCUGAAAGGUAAUGGGGAGCGAAAAUAAGUAGCGAAGUAACCGACUCCAAGCUGUCAAGAAAAGCCUCUAGUGAGUGAGAGAGAGCCCGUACCGCAAACCGACACAGGUAGAUAAGGAGAGAAUCCUAAGGCGCGCGAGAAAACCCUCGUUAAGGAACUCGGCAAAAUAGCCCCGUAACUUCGGGAGAAGGGGCGCUCUUCGCAAGAAGAGCCGCAGAGAAAUGGUCCAGGCGACUGUUUAACAAAAACACAGGUUCCUGCCAAUCUGAAAAGAGAAGUAUAGGAGCUGACGCCUGCCCGGUGCUGGAAGGUUAAGAGGAGAGGUUAGCCGCAAGGCGAAGCUUUGAAUUGAAGCCCCAGUAAACGGCGGCCGUAACUAUAACGGUCCUAAGGUAGCGAAAUUCCUUGUCAGGUAAGUUCUGACCCGCACGAAAGGCGUAACGAUCUGGACACUGUCUCAACGAGGGACUCGGCGAAAUUGUAAUACCCGUGAAGAUGCGGGUUACCUGCGACAGGACAGAAAGACCCCAUGGAGCUUUACUGUAGCUUGACAUUGGAUUUUGGUAUAAAAUGUACAGGAUAGGUGGGAGACUAAGAAGCUAGGGCGCCAGCCUUGGUGGAGUCGCCGGUGGGAUACCACUCUUUUUGUACUGAAAUUCUAACUUAGACCCCUGAAUCGGGGUUGAGGACCGUGUCAGGUGGGCAGUUUGACUGGGGCGGUCGCCUCCUAAAGAGUAACGGAGGCGCCCAAAGGUUCCCUCAGCGCGGAUGGAAAUCGCGCGAAGAGUGUAAAGGCAAAAGGGAGCUUGACUGCGAGACCAACAAGUCGAGCAGGGACGAAAGUCGGGCUUAGUGAUCCGGUGGUACCGAGUGGAAGGGCCAUCGCUCAACGGAUAAAAGCUACCCUGGGGAUAACAGGCUUAUCUCCCCCAAGAGUCCAUAUCGACGGGGAGGUUUGGCACCUCGAUGUCGGCUCAUCGCAUCCUGGGGCUGUAGUAGGUCCCAAGGGUUGGGCUGUUCGCCCAUUAAAGCGGUACGUGAGCUGGGUUCAGAACGUCGUGAGACAGUUCGGUCCCUAUCCGUCGCAGGCGCAGGAAAUUUGAGGGGAGCUGACCCUAGUACGAGAGGACCGGGUUGGACGGAUCACUGGUGUACCAGUUGUCUCGCCAGAGGCAUAGCUGGGUAGCUAUAUCCGGAUCGGAUAAGCGCUGAAAGCAUCUAAGCGCGAAACCGACCUCAAGAUGAGAUUUCCCACAGCACAAGCUGGUAAGACCCCUGAAAGAUGAUCAGGUAGAUAGGCCCAAUGUGGAAGCGCGGUGACGUGUGGAGCUGACGGGUACUAAUCGGUCGAGGGCUUGACCUA